CGGGGGGGCAAGCGUUGUUCGGAAUUACUGGGCGUAAAGGGCUCGUAGGCGGCCAACUAAGUCAGACGUGAAAUCCCUCGGCUUAACCGGGGAACUGCGUCUGAUACUGGAUGGCUCGAGUUUGGGAGAGGGAUGCGGAAUUCCAGGUGUAGCGGUGAAAUGCGUAGAUAUCUGGAGGAACACCGGUGGCGAAGGCGGCAUACUGGACCAACACUGACGCUGAGUGAGCGAAAGCCAGGGGAGCAAACGGGAUUAGAUACCCCGGUAGUCCUGGCCCUAAACGAUGAAUGCUUGGUGUGGCGGGUAUCGAUCCCUGCCGUGCCGAAGCUAACGCAUUAAGCAUUCCGCCUGGGGAGUACGGUCGCAAGGCUG
rnacentral:rRNA from 1 species